rnacentral:misc_RNA from 1 species
UUUUUUUUUUUUUUUUUUUGCUGUGGGUUUUUGCAGCUCUGACGAAAUGGGAGAGGUUGGUUCAUGUAAACUGCAAAGUCUUCUGGUUAUGAUGCAAAAACCCUGUCUUUGUGCUUGGGGCAUUUUGCUCGACGUGCGGGUGCUGGGUAUCUCAUGGGACGGUACCGACGCCCCGGUUGCGUCUAGUCCUUUAUGGCCGAAGAUUGCCUUUAAGAGCUAUGAGCUACUGGAUUUCUUCUGGAUUGGUUGUGCAGCGGUAAGAUGGAAUGUUGGAGCAAGGAUUUAUUCACUUAUUUUGGCUCGUGGCCUCUCUGUUUUGGUGUUGAAACCUCAUGCAUGUGCAAAUCUGUCUCCAGAAAUCAUCUCAUACUCCUUGUAUCUGAAAGGCCAUCUCGUUGAGGUGGAAGUAGGGAGCGGCGGGCAAGGUUUACUGCUUCAACUAACAGUUUGGCCCAAGACUAUUAGGUUUAAUACCUACAAUUCAAACAUAAACUCACCAAUAACUAAAUCUCUCCGAGGAGGCAUUUUUAAUGGAAGACAUGAGAAAUGGAACACAUGGAAGACAUGAGGAAUGGGUGUGUCAGUGUUUCUCCAUCUUCAUCUCCACCGACACCUCCAUCACCCCUCCCCGUUAGUGUAGGACCUGGCAACCAAAAGUACUCCUUCUCCCCUUCUCCUUCACCUUCUCCACCCUUUUCACCGCCUCCUUCAAGCCACACAUCUGCUGAAAACCUCCCACUUUUGUCUAAUAAAUUAGCUACUACUACAAACGUGAAGUCUGCAUUUUCAUUGGACCUUCCGCAUCUUGAUCAAACGGAUUCUACGAGCUCAUGCCUUCAGGACUUGUAAGCAAUUCAUCUUCCUAGCUAUCUUUCCUAUGUGAUAUAGUAUUCGAGUUUUAAUUAACACUAACAUCUCGUAAUUCACAGAAACAAGUACAUAUCAAAUUUUCUUAUGUUAGUUUACUUUGAUUCGUUCUUCUAUAAUGGUAUCUUGCAUUGCCAUUCAUUUUUCUUGAUUCGUUUGCUGUCGACAUCUUUAUUUAUUGCUCAAAUUCACUAUGAAACCAUACCCUGUGAACUUGCUUAUUUGAUCUUUUGACUGGUAGAAAAUUUCUUUUUCUCUGCCAACUAGUCAAAGGGGCAUAAUGUAGUAGGAAACAGUAGGUCUGAUUACAGUUUUUAUCAUACGGCAAUGCUUUGGACUUUUUAGUAAUGAGAACAUGUAAUUGAUUUUAUUGUAAUUAAGAAUAAAAAUUUUAGUGCCAUUUACAUCACGAGGACAGAUUACUUAUGUAGCAUUAUAUAUGAUAUGGCAUUACGGUGUAAAACCCAUGUAUGACAUGACAUGCUGACAUUAACUCCAUGUCAUCAAUUUUUAUACUAUUAUUCAUUUUAUCAUUUAAGCAAGUGAAAGUAUACCUCAUAAAUUAAAAAAAAAAAUUAAGUUCAAACAUACAUGAAAAAAUAUGAAAAGAGAGAGAGAUAGAGAAAUAGGAAGAGAGAGAGGCAUGGGAGAGUGAGAGGGGUGGGGGAGAGAUAUGGAGAGGACUUACAGAGAUAAAUGGAGAGAGAGAAUGAAAGAUAUGGA